UACGGAGGGUGCGAGCGUUGUCCGGAAUCAUUGGGCGUAAAGGGCGCGUAGGUGGCCCGGUGAGUCUUUGGUGAAAGCGCGGGGCUCAACCCUGCGUCGGCCAGGGAUACUGCCGCGGCUCGAGCACUGUAGAGGCAGGCGGAAUUCCGGGUGUAGCGGUGGAAUGCGUAGAGAUCCGGAAGAACACCGGUGGCGAAGGCGGCCUGCUGGGCAGUGGCUGACGCUGAGGCGCGACGGCGUGGGGAGCAAACAGG
rnacentral:rRNA from 1 species